rnacentral:lncRNA from 1 species
GAGAAUACAAAGAUACUGGUUUUCUCCAAAGGAGGCUUUCCUUCUCUUCAAUUUCUUUAUGUUACUUCUCUGGGCCAAAUAACAGGGCUGACGGUAGAGGAAGGAGCCAUGCCUCGUCUUUGUCGAUUGGAAAUUGUAUAUUGUUGGGGAUUGACUACACUUCCAGAUGGGCUGAGAUACCUUACUAAUCUCAGGGAAUUAACCAUCAGAGGGAUGCCUAGAGAACUCCACCGUCGGAUUGAGGAAGAUGGAGAGGAUUUCUAUAAAAUUCAACAUGUACCUUCCCUUGUAAUUGGAAAACCACUCAAUUUUUAACCACCGAUGCAAUGAUGGCAAGGUAAUUUCUUUUUUUUAAAUUUUUUAAUUUUAAAGCGAAAUGGGAGGUUUGGUUUGUGUUUAUUAGUUAUAAAAUGAAGCGAGAGAAUAUUAAAGUAGAAAAACUUACAGAAUAUGGGCUCCCUUUGUUUAGCUAUGUUUUCUUUCUCCAUUUUUAUUGCUUUUUGCUUCUGCUUGUGACUUGGGAGUCCCCGACUCUUGAGCCUUAUCAUUUCCCAAUUUCCAAAUAUUUUAUUACUCAUAUGUUUUCUUUGUCCAUUUUGAUUUGCUUUUUGCUUGUGCUUGUGAGUUGUUGUGAGUGAGAAGCUUAAUCAAAAAGCCAACAGGUUAAAUUUCCUUAUUUGGAGACCAUUGAUAAUUCUAUCGCAUUCCAAAUUCAAGUUUUCGAUGGUUCGUGGCAUGUUAAAAUACAUCACCAUUAGAUUCAGAUGUUCUUUUUGAAGUCAAUCAAGUAAAAGAGCUGAAUAUUUAUGUGCAUUUCAGAAUCUUUGAAAUGGAGAGUCUUUCCAUUGCUACGCGAACAACAAUUAGCAAUAUGAUUUUUUCUUCUUUUUUUGAGAAACAAAAUUUCAUUCAACACUCCAAAGAGAGUACAUCAGCUUCAAGCACAGGGAGCAACCAUAUUGGUGCUUCCUCAAUCCAGGUAACAAAUUCGUUACAAUGAAAUGCAAACUGAGCCAAAGUGUGCGCCACUUUAUUACCGCAUCUUGGAGUCCAUUGACAUACGACUGCUCUAAAAUUAUGAAGUAGAUAGUUCACCUCCUCAAUCAAAAGACCACCUAUUCCAUUGCACUCCUCUGUUGAAAGAAUACUAUUAAUGCAAUCUUGUACGUCCAUUUCUAGAAUAGCAUCAGUAAAGCCCAUAUCAAUAGCAAAACGCAGACCCUCUAUUGCAGCAAUAUGAUUUUUUCUAAUUGAUCAUGUUAACAAGUUAUCCCUUGUUGUUUUUUUAAAAACAUAAAACACAAAGUUUCAAUAUAUACAUUUUUUGGCAUACUCGAUAAACUGUCACGUACAGAGUAUUGGAUUGAAAUGAGUGUGUUUCUUUUGGAAAUUUAGUACGAUAUUACUACAAUGUUCAUAUUGGAAUGCAAUUUUCACAAGUAAACUACUGAAUUUUUGUUAUGGUAGCUGCAGGUAGGACCUAACAUUGAGAAAGUAUGUCGAAGCUCUGCAGCAGAGGGAGCAUGUGCGAAGCUAAACUUACAGGAAGAAGAAAGAAAUGCUCUGUGAAAAUCAAGAGGAGCAAAGAUGUGGUCAACUAGUUUAAUGUUUGUUACAAGCUUUUGGGUCUAGUGAUUGUCUAAAAGUACAUUUAUAUUACACAACUAAAAUUAUUGUAUUAAUUAAAAUUUCCUUAAUGAAACCUUGUAUUUGUAUUCCUCUUUCGUGUCUGUUUUCAAUUAUGAAUAUUUGAGCUUGUGGGCAUCAUGCCUUUGUUUAUUUCACGGUUAGCAUUCCCAACUUGGUCCCAUAUGCCAUAUGAUAUGAUUUUACAAAAUCCUUGCCAGAUGCUGGUGGGAGAAUUUAGAAGAACGAUUGGUAGAUUCGUUCGACAUUUAAUUACUGCACUAGAGAUUUCAGAGAUCUUUUUCUUUUUCUAUUCAGAAACAAUUGCCGUCUGGGAAAUUUGAUUUCCGAGGACUUCCAACAAAGUAAAGAUUGCGUGCCACUAAGUCAAAUUGUUAUUAGCAAGGGAUGUUAGAGAUUGAAAAAAAGUUGUACAAAAUGAUGUGACAAUUUAUGUUGAUGGUUAUAUGAAUCAUGUCAUUUUCUCCUGUUCUCUACAAAAGAAGACACUCUUGGUUUUAUGGAAAAGGAAGUAGGAGGCUAGAGUUCGCCUGAGUCUCAUCUCCAAUUUAGAGUUAGCAUAUAUCUGAAAAUUUUGUGCCACACAAAGGAGAAUAUCAAUCAGGCUUUUUUUCUUUCUUUUCGUGGCUUAAGCUACCAGUACCUUGUGCACUUGGAGAAUAAAGGAAAGGAGGCUGUUAGAUGGGACUUGGGAGCAGAGAGAAGAGACUUCCAUGCACAACGCAGAUCCCAGGUACCUGUGCUACCAAUUUUUACAUCAAGCACCUCAUAGCUCUGGAACUCCUUAACUUCUUCUGUUUCCGUUUUCGUUAUGCGAUAAGAGCUCAGUACCGAUCGUAUAUACAUAUGUGAUUUGUGAAACAAAAGUUAUAUUACAACAUACUAACUGCUUUUUGCAGAGUUCAGCACCAUUUAACAUGAUGCAACAACUUCAGCUUUGUCACAGAAACUACGAUUGAAACUGAUAUCCGAGAUGAAGCCUCUUUCUAAGUCAUCGAGCGGUUUGGAGAAAACGAACAGCACUGAGGCAAUCCUAGAUUCCUCUUGUACCUUCACUUCUCCUGCUCUCGUUAAAAUGCAACCAUAUCAAGUAGCUGCUUCACCUCUACAUUACAGAUUCUCACUCGGGUAAUCCUGCAUAUUGCUCCCACUUUCAAUCGGCUUGCUAUAUGAAAACGAGUGUUGAUCAUAAUAUAAAAGUAGUUCUUUCACUUUUAUGCCUCAGAUUCUCUCUCGCGUCUGUAGAUAAAAGCUGAACCAUAUACCACUCUACCGACCCUUCUACUUUUCUGACUUCUUCUACUCAAACCUCUCUUCCUCUCCUUCCCAACAACAGCUUCUGACAUGGGUAAAUUACAAAGCCAUCCUAAAGGAAGUAAAGCCGCAAUGAACUGUACCAGAAUUCCAAAAGGCAGGCUUGAGUAGUCGCCUGCUGUUACUCCAAUCAGAGAAGCCAAUCCAACGCCUAAAAACCCACUAGCUAUUGAUGAUAAACACAAGGCUGAUGCUAAGAAAGAAGUCAGAGAUCCUUCACAACCUCGAGGACAUAAACUCGCAAAUAGCACUGUGAAUGGUAAGAUUUUGAAUUGCGCAAUAAUUUCUGCUAACCCCGAAAAACAAAGAACAAACACCUCAUUCGGAAUCCCCAGUCUAACAUUGAUCUGUCUUACUAAAAGAAGGUCAAGAAGAAGUGAAAAGGCAUAUACAAGUUGCACCACACCAACCAACUUUCUCAUGGGAACUUUUUUCCAAUAACGGUCAUAAAGUACGGCAGUGGAAAGAAGCAUCAAUUGGCCAAUCACUCGAGACAUGCCAAUGACUGAAGGAUCAAGAUGUAGACAUUGUGUUUGGUAGCAAAAGAUGGAACCUGACAGGACGGGAACCAUGGCAAUAGAAGCUACUAUCCAAGUAAGAGGAUGAACAAUACUUUCCUCUUGAAUUCCCAUCAUCAGCUCAGAAAAUUGUUUUCUAGUACUUUCAAAGAUUGGCUUCCUUAUAAGAUAGUGAUCUGGCAAUUUUGGUAAACCAAGAGAUUCCUCUCUUAUUCUCAAUGAAAUUGCAAGUUGAGCGGAAAGUAACACUGAAAAUACGAGAAACAUGGUUCUUGGUGGUGUUUUCAUUAAGAAAUAUCCACCUAUUAAGUUACCAAGGAUUCCACCAGCAGCUGAUGCCAUGAAUGCAUAAGAUUGGAGGCCUUUCAUGUUUUUUUCUUGCCCGUACUCUGCAACAAGAGCAUCCUGUGCUACUUCUGUAAUGGAUGCUCCAAGAUUACUAAGAAGAACACAUGCCAUAAGGGUAGGAAGGGCUUUACCUGCAACAGGGAUAACUGCCAUUGGCCCCCAAGAUAGGACCUGUAAAAGAACUGAAAAUUUGAACUCCAUUAGAAAUAGCCCAUAGGUUUUUAGAGGACAAAUAUACCCUUCUUUUUUAAUUGCCUUUCCAAAUGGUUCAUAUUACUUUCUGAUUGAUACCUAUGUUAACACACCAUUAAACAGUGUUUUUAGGUUCCACUUCAACAUUGUUGCAACUUGCAAGGAAAGCAGUAUAAGGUUAAGCUACCUUUUACAGGGAUAUGAGCACAAAAAGCAGUAGAAUUUGUCCAAUUUAAAGAGAGAAGUUUCCUUAUAUUUAGGAAUCUAAUAAGUUUUUGUCUCCACAGAUUAACCAAAGAAAUUGUGCACAUGGAAGAGACAAAUAGAAUCUCUAGCAUAAUCAAAAUGGGAAGAAAAGAGCAAGAAAGCAAACCAAGCAAAGGAAAGAAUAAAAACAACAUAAACAAGCAACCUGAACAAAAAGCACAAACAAUAUGACUUAACAUUUAAAAAUGAACAGAUUUCUCUACAACAAUGACAGAUAACAGAGCACAUGAAUAUAUUAAAACAGGGAACUAUCAACAAAAUUGACAAAAACGGAAUGACAUCAAUGAAAUAAGGCAAGGGAAUUGUAACUAACCUCCAAUGGAAAUAUAAGGUAAUCUAUGCGCACCAGAAAUGUAAAGAGCAUCAGAAAGGAUUCCAUAAAAGGGUUUGGCCACCAUGGGAAGGUUACCAGAAUGCUGUACGAGCUGCAAUGUUGAGGGGUGCAUGUUCAGAUUGUGAGCCAUGUGGAAGUUCAAAGCCAGCCAUGGAAAGCACCUAAAACCUUGCAUCCAGUACCCAAAUCCACACAGAAACAACAUUUGCUGACUACCCAGUUGGGGAAAACCUCUUGUUUCCCCAUGAAUCCUGCUCCUCUUGGUUUUUCUGUAAAUAAAUUGAGUUGGGUUUAUCAAGAUGGGGCUUCUGAGCUGGGUUUUGGGUUCUGUUGCGUUCACCGGGCUGUUAAUGGUGUCUGGGUUUUGGCGGUGAAAACUAAGGAUAGGAUUUAAGUGAAAAGGACGUUGCUUUGUUGAAGGUCUGAGGACUUUUGGGCUUAUUGUUGUCCAUGGAUUUUCAGAAGAAACUGAUGAAUAAAUCAUGGUAUAUUACUAAUUUGGUACUUCUAAAAAGAAAAAUGCAAAACCAAGAAAGAAAGGGAAUGAGGUGCCUCUAUAAACCUCUCUAUAUGCUUCUAUUUUAUAUGCAGUAUUGGCUGAAAGUAACAAUGAGGAAAAGUAGUAGUGUGGAAAAGACAAGAGACUUUGUUAUUUAAUAAAUAAUAUAAGCUGGCAGCUGAAUCGCUCAAAGAAGAAGAAAGAAUAUGCUUGCUUGUUAAUGGAGAGAUCUAGAGAAGUGUAUGACUGUAGUGAAGGGGUUUAGACUUUUAGUAAUUUUGAAGUAGAGAGAGAGAGAGAGAGAGAGAGAGAGAGAGAGUGUAGAGAGCAUAGCCUCCUGAUCUAGAGAAGUGUAUGGCUGAUGGAUACCUUGUUUUUGGAGUUGGGUUUGUCUUUGUCUGUAUAUGGUGUACUUAUUUUGCUUGUCUGUAUUGUCUUGCUUUCUUUUGGAAAUUGGGAGGUUUGGCCAUGUGUUUCACACGCGCCCCUGUGGAGCGAGUGGGUCCGAGGAAAUAGGGAGGGGCCAGCACACGGGAGUGGUGAGGGUGAGGGUAGGCCCUACAUGUUGAUUUGUUUUAGGUCAAUUUUGUGGAUCUGACUCUGACCCGACCCAAUCAGCGGAGAGGAUCUGAGUAGUAGAUGGACUGAUUGGGACUGCAUACGAGAUGUUGGAUAUGGACCGUCCCUUUUUGGACAAACUGUUGGGAGUUUCACACGCGCGGCAGGCACCGAAUGUAAGGUUGGUAGAGGAGCAUAGCGCGUGGGCUUAUAAUAUCGGGUCAUUUUGUUGUGAAUUUAGUAAAUUUAUUUCGCUGUAGAGCAUCUAAGUUAACGGCAUGUGGCAUUAUCUAAAUAAUUUAGUAAUCUAAUCAAGUCUCCAGCCUUCUUCCACCGUUGGAGUCGCGUUCAGAGUUUUUUUUUUCUUUAUACAAGUGAGGGUUUAAAUUAAGGCUUAUUUAUUGUAAUGAUACUUGAAAUUUCGGUCAAAUUUCAUUUUCUUCUUCCAAACUUAAAAUGAUUCAUUUUCAUCCCUUGAUCGUAGUUUGGUUAUUCACUUUGCUCCCUAUCGUCAAUUCCAUCUAAAAGUCUGUUAACUUUGAUGACGUGGUAGGAGUGUUUUUAUAAUUUUGCACACAUGGAUCAUCAUCCACCAAUUAGAUGAGUGAUGUGGCAAGUGGAGUCCACCACCACAUAAAAAAUAACUAAAUAUUCUAAUAAUUAAAAAUAACUAUAAAUUAAAUUAAAUAAGAAAAGAAAUUCAAAUAAUUAAAAACUGUACCCGAUACACAAUCCAACUCCCUCCCACCAAGAUCCCACCAUCUAUCUCUCUCUCUCUCUCUCUCUCUCUCUCUCUCUCUCUCUCGGAUUCGUAAGUGGGAGGCUCUAGGAUUCAUAUCAGAGGACACUACAAUAAAUAAGCCUUAAAUUAAUUUAAUAUUUAAGGAGAGAAAUUAGAAUUUGCGUAUAAAAGAAGAGUCAGCUCACGGCUAUAAUCAGUUGACUUAAUUCAUAUCCCCAGAUUUAGAAUAUUAAGAGCAAAAUUACAAUCAUGAUGGAAUUUUAAAUGCAACUGAAAAAUUCGCCAUUUUCACUAAGGUAAUGGAGGAAGGUGGGUACUGAACUUUGAUGCCAAAGGAUCAAAUGUUAAUCAAUUUAUAUUAUAAUGCAUGUAUGAUGUAUCCAUAUGUUAAUAUUAUUCUCUAGAUUCAUGAUAUAUAAAGUCUCUUAUUCACUCAUAUUAGAACACAUGAAUUGAUAACAUCACGUGAUAGUGUGACAAUCAAAUUUUAGAAUUUCUCUCUUAUAUAAUGUGUAUGCACACAUGUCAACGUCUUAAUUGUUGAAAAGAAAUGAAAUCUUUGGCCUGAAUUUAACUAAAUGACUGACGCACACAUUAUUUAGGAAAUAUGACUUCAUAAAGAACUUUGGUGUGUAACAUUACUUCUCAACUAACAUUGCAUUAUACACAAACGUUGUUGGGUGCAUGGGGUUUCUGAACCUCGCCCAUAGGGCUUAAGGCCAAUCACUUGUACUAAAAAAAAUCAUCUUUGCUUAAAAACAAGAGUAAUACAAUGUGCAAUCGAUGUACGUAACGUCCUCUAAUUUCCAAAUGCUACGACUUAUUGUAAUGUUGUCACCAAAACUAUAACUAAUUCAUAGCGUUAUGGUUGUAAUGUAUGUUUGUAAUGUUCACCCUAUUUUUCAUUUCUUCAUUCAAGAAGACGAGAGCAAACCCCAGGGGAAAGUGCCCCUCAUGUAAGCAAAACUCUCAUUCUUUUGAGUACCCUUCACUCAAGACGAGACCAUUAAUGAUUUCUAAGUUUUCCUCUGACUUUUUGUUGUUUUUUUAAAGAAAAUCUUUCACUGAACAAAGCGAACCCAAAUAUAUAAAGUGAGGUACACACUGGUGCCACGGCAUGCACAUGCUCAGAAUUGCUGAAGGUGGAGUAUGAUUAUAAUUAGUCUACUCCCAUUCAGUUGCGAGAUAUGCAAAAUGACUGAAAUCAGCAUGAAAAUGUUUCUGAGAUGCCUAACUAUUCAGAUGUUUCUGAGAUACCUAUCUUUAAAUCUUUUGGUUCCUGACAAUAUAAAUCAAAUCAUCUAAAAGCAGAACGAUUUUUCAACUCAAAAUUUCACUCAUGGCCUCAAAAGAAGAAGGAUCAUACAUUCAUUCACAAGAGAAUCAGGAAACUUUAUUCAUUUGUAAAACUGACAUCAGUAAGAAUUUGUACAUCAGUGCUUCAGCCAAAAAGAAUGUCUUAAGAGAAUUGACAUCUGGAAACUAUGAUCAAGAAUGGAACAACCUAAGAAUGAGACCAGUGUGACUGAAUUGGAAAUGAAAAAGCCAAACCCAAGAAUGAUUGGAUAACUGGGAAAUGGAUAUCUACAUGAGCUUGUAGUAACACUCUCCUCCACUGAGAAGGAACUGAUAGGCUUUGUCACAGUGACACCUGAAGUGAAUGACCAAGCAGUCAUCCUUCUUCUCCACGCUCACAGAUUCAGCAAAUUCUUUCUCACACUCAUCCUGCCACAACAACAAAAAUGCUUAAUUCGCAUAUUAAAGAAUCUGAAAAUACAAAGUUAGUGAUUGGUUUGAUUGAUCGGUUAGAAAGCCAUGAAAAAUGGAAGAGAAAUCAAAUUUUCUAUCUUGAUGUUAGAUUAUGAAGACCCAAGAAAUCAUAUUUCUAUCUGUUUUUUCAUUUUCUUUGUGAUCUUGUUUGUGGGAAACCCAGUAUUCUUGAAAACUAAACAGAGAACACAAUACCUCAGCAGCACCAGUAUUGUUAUGAAAAUCUUGAUCAGUGGCAUCAACAGCCUGUACUUGUGCUUCUUCUUCCACUGCCUGCUGUUGCUCAUCUUCAUCUUGUUCCAUCAAGUCCUCUUCACGCAUCAGUUGCUGGCACCAAUGGCUCAUCUCUCUGAGGCGAUCCUUCAUCCUCCUCAGCCUCUGCAACAACAGUUUUCCCCAAACCCAUUUCAAUAACAACUCAAAAAUAAAACAAUAAAGAACCGAGCUUUCUAACAGAUUACAACAUAAGAUUCCCCAAAACCCAUAUCAGCAAAAACCCCAAAAAGAGAGAGAGACUCAAGCUUUUCACAGAUUAGAACAUUAGAGAAUGAAAUUCAAGAAAAUUUUCCGACCUUGGAAUUGGGAGUGUCAAUGUCGGUGCCCAGGUCUUGGGAGGAGGUGGAGAAGCGUGAGGAGGCCUUGGCAGGAGAGGGAUUGAUAUCCGAGACGGAGCGGCGGAAGGUGUGAGGAGGAGGCAGGGGAGGCAGUGCAUGAGUCGGGGAAUGGGAUGGAGUCUUGGGGCAGUGGUGGCGAUCAGGAGAGUACGGAGGAGUGAAAUUGGACAGAGAACCGCCGCAGGUAGAAGCAGAGGAAAGGGAAGGAUCAAAGAAUGAUGGGUUGGCGGCGGUGGCAGAAGGAGGAUUGCAAGGAUCGGACAUGCAGCGGCGAAGAAGAGGGAGAGAGAUCUUGUGAUAGCCAUUGCAAGGGAGAGAAGGGUCUGGUUCUGGGUUAGGGUUGCUAGGCAAGGAAGAUGGUGGAUCGUUUUGGUGGUGGUGGUUCAUGGUGUUUGAUUUUUCUGAUUCUUGGUUUCUAGGAAGCUCAGGGAUUUGGAAUUUGAUUUGCAAGUUGCAGAGGAAAAUGGAGGGAGUUUGUUUAUAUAGAGAGGAAGAAGUUUAAUGGGCAAAACAACAGUCAACAGUUGACAGUUAAACAAGCCGUUACAUUUGGCGCCACAUAAAAAAGACACGUGCUUUAGUAUAACUAGAGGAAAACGACAACAAUUAACAACAAGCCCGUCUAGCUCAGUUGGUAGAGCGCAAGGCUCUUAACCUUGUGGUCGUGGGUUCGAGCCCCACGGUGGGCGUUUGAUUUUUAUUUUUUAUUUUUGCUACUUUUAACUCUAACACCACAUUUGUAUGGGUUCAAACCAUUCCACAAAUAUAUUGGGUGGGAAAGUACAACACAAAUUUUAAAACUAAAAUAAGUCUGAUAGAAAUUGGUUGGUCUUCCGCCUAACUGGUUUCUAGUAGAAAUUUUCUACUACUUCCUUCCUCUUCUUCUUUCACUUUCCGGUUGCAGUUUCUUUGCUUCUAAUCGUUUCGGGGAGCAAAGAGCAAGCCAUACAACACGUGCUGCAACCUAGUUAUUUUCUAGAUAAUGCGUACAGACUACUAAUAAGGCUUCUUCUCCAUCGAAUGUGAAGAUUGUCCGCAACAGGUUUGAGGAUCAAGGUGACAGGUCAAAAUGUGCUUCCAAUAGCGAGUGAACUUCCAUUAGGGAAGACAGCUUGAAAUCUGGUUUGAAAUCGUAUUCUGGAGAGUCAUACCUCCCACUUGCAUUAAUCAAGCAUGCAACAGCUCCUGCUCGCUUCCCACAAGCCACCUGCAAAGUCAGGCAAUUCUUCAUAAGCAUUUCCAAUUCAAUAUGCUUGUUCUAAUUCGAUCCAUCAGAUGCAGACCCUACUACAGUUAGGGACAGCAUUCGUACUACAAGUACCAUUUAGUGAUCUUUGUAAUUUUUUUCUUUUUCUUUACUAAAUUCAGGUCUUACUAAUGUAAAGUGAUCUAAGAGCCUCAUCUGGCUUACAUGCAACGGGUGUUGUGGUAGCUGCGGCUUGGACUUGACAUUGGGAAAGUAUGCCGAAGAAGCUCUGCAUUUGCCAAGACAAUUUUACCAGUUUGAAUAAAUAAAUAGACAGCAACUUUCUUGCAAGAAGACGAAAGCAGAAAUAAAAAUAAGUUCGAAAAAAAUAAAAAUUAUAUUCUAUUUUAAAACAAGGUGUCACCUACUACAGCUUGCAUUACAUUAUAUUUUAGAACAAGGUGUCCCCUGCUACAGCUUGCAUUACAUUAUGUUUUAGAACAAGGUGGUCGGAAAACGACAAAGUUGAUGAGUUCUUGUUGGGUUCAAAUUGAACCAAUUUGACCAAUUGGCUGCAAAUUAGAUCUGGAGGUUUAGUUGUUUUCGUUUUGGCGAAGAGAGAGUAAGUAGUAGAGAGAAUGGCCGAGGCAGUUGUUUCCUUUGUGCUCGAAAGUGUCAGAGACUUCACCAUUCAGGAAGCCAAGUUCUUGUCCGGAGUCAGCCAACAAGCUGAGGUCGUACAAACUGAGCUACAAUUGAUGCAGGGCUUCCUCAAAGAUGCAGAUGCAAGACAAGGACAAGAUGAAACAGUCCGUAUUUGGGUUGCCAAGAUUAGAGAUGCUGCUUAUGAUUUGGAGGAUGUCAUCCAAACUUAUGGCUUGAAAGUGGUUUCCAAGAAGAAAAGAGGUGUGAAGAAUGUUUUGAGAAGAUUUGCCUGCAUCUUCAAUGAAGGGGUUGAUGUUCACAGGAUUGGGAAAGAAAUUGAGAAUAUCACCACCAGAAUUUCUGAGUUGAGGUCGAAUUUGCAGAAGUAUAACAUAAAGGAACUAACAACGGACAGAGACGGUAAUGAUGGUGAAUCUUCCUUCCAAUUGCAAGAGAGGCUAAGGAGAACUCGUUCUCAUGUUGUUGAAUGUGAUGUUGUUGGGUUAGAGUCCAACGUUGAAGAAUUGGUUAUGCAUUUAGUGAAAGAUGAAAAUCGUCAUCGAGUUGUAUCUAUUUGGGGUAUGGGCGGUUUAGGGAAGACCACCCUUGCAAGACAGCUUUAUCAUAACAAAAAAGUAAGGCAACAUUUUCAUAGUUUUGCUUGGGUCUGUGUAUCUCAACGUUUUCAAGUAAGAAAUGUUUGGGAAGGAAUUUUAAUUGAGCUCAUUUCUGCAACCAAGGAACAAAAACAAGAAAUUAAGGACAUGACAGAUGAUGAAAUAGCAAAGAAGCUUUUCCUUGUUCUGCAAGAAAUGAGAUGUUUGGUGAUACUUGAUGACAUAUGGAGAAUCGAGACAUGGAAUCUUUUGAAGGAUGCAUUUCCAAAUGUGAAAACAGAGAGCACAAUAUUGCUUACAACACGCAAUCAAGCAGUAGCUUUGCCCUCGAAUAGAAGUGCUUUUCUCCACGAACUCCAGGCACUAAAUGAGAAAAAGAGCUGGGAACUAUUUGAGAAGAUAGCAAUAUCUGGAAGGGCUGAUAUCGGUAAUUCUCACCCUUACUCUUUUCUUUUCCAGGUUCUUAGUUAUAUAGCAAGCCACAUAGAAACCAUUACACUGCAUAUGACACAACUUAUGUAGUGUUUUUUUUUUUUUUUUUUUCAUUCAUUGUUGGGAUUACCCUCUACAAUUUUUUUAAUAUUGACACAACUUGGUCACACAUUUGUUAGGUAGCAGAUGAUUUAUCUUACCGCAAAAAAAUUAUUGUCCAGAUUUAAUUUUGAAUGUUUUCCAUUUGGCAUGUGUUAUAAAAUCCAAACUUAUAAUGGAAUUUCACAAUUUUAAUUUUUAAUCAUUCGAGCAAGGGAUACACACCACAAGAAUGAAUUUGAUUUUUAUUUCUUUCUUAUUUUUCAGAUUUGGGAAUUUUCACAAAGAAGAGAGAAUUAGGAAUGAAGAUGCUUCGACACUGUGCAGGCUUGCCAUUAGCCAUUAUUGUGCUUGCCGGAGUUCUAGCAAGAAAAAACACCGUUAGAGAGUGGGAGAGAGUGCAUGAGAAUGUUCAUGAAUACAUAAGGAGAGGGAUAGGUCAUGAAGAAGAAUAUGAAGGUGCAUCAUGGGUUUUGGCAUUGAGUUAUGAUGACCUACCGUAUUACUUAAAACCAUGUUUUUUAUAUUUAGGUCAUUAUCCUGAAGACUCUGAGUUUUUGGUGAGCGAAUUGACGAAGUUAUGGGUGGCAGAAGGUCUUAUCUCCUUAAGACAACAAAGACAUGGUUCGAGGGAAACAAUGGAGGAUAUAGCACAUGAUUACUUAAGUGAGUUGGUGGAAAGGUGUUUGGUUCAAGUGAGAACAAGUGGUUCAACUGGAACAAUUAAAGGUUGUCGAAUCCAUGAUCUUGUACGAGACAUGUGUUUGUUAAAGGCAAAAGAGGAAAGCUUUCUCCAGAUUAACAAUUCUUUGCAAGAAAAUAAUUCUUCUGUGGCAGCCGAGGCAGCACAAUUGGGGAAAAUUCGAAGACUUGCAAUUUACUUGGAUGAGAAGGCAGAUAGGUUGGUUUCUUCAAGAGAUGAAACAAAUGGGCACGUAAGGUCUCUUUUAUACUUUUUUCCACAAGGAUGGAUGCCAAGAAAUAUAGAAGGAUUACUAUCUCCUUUGAAGGAUUUCAAAGUGCUUAGAGUUUUGAAAGUUGAAUGUCUUAAUCAAGUAGAAGUUGAGUUGCCAAGUGAAAUUGGAAAUAUGGUACACUUACGGUUUCUAAGUGUGAAGUGGAGCGAUAUAAAAAAGUUUCCGCCAUCCCUAGGUAAUUUAGUAUGCUUGCAAACUCUUGAUUUUCGUGUUUCAAAUUAUGUCGCUGUGGUCAUCCCAAAUGUGAUAAUGAAGAUGAAACAAUUAAGACAUUUAUAUUUACCGAGGAAUUACAGAGCAAAGGGUAAGCUGGAGCUGUCUACUUUUGGCCAUCUACAGACCUUAUAUAACCUUUCAAGUGAGUAUUGUGAUUUGAAAGAUGUUGGCAGAUUAACCAAUCUUAGAAAACUGGUGAUAAUAGUGUCAAGCACUUUGCAAAAUAUGGAGGAAAUCUUAAAAUCUACGGGCAACACGCUUAACCGUAUUCGGUCUCUACUUGUGUUUGUGGACAAACAAUAGCUGUGAAGAGCAAGCUAUGCAAAUAGUAUCAAGCUGUCGCGGUAUAUACAAAUUGAAGUUGCAAGGCCCAACCGCAGAAUUACCGAAAGAGCUCCACAAGUAUCCAAACCUCACCAAGUUAGAAUUGGCUAGGUGUGGUCUCAAGGAGGACCAAAUGGGAAUACUAGAGAAGCUGCCAAACCUAACGACUCUGAACCUUAAGAGUCAAGCUUUCAAGGAGAAUACAAAGAUACUGGUUUUCUCCAAAGAAGGCUUUCCUUCUCUUCAAUAUCUUUUCGUUAAUGGUAUGUUCGGAAUAACAGAGUGGAGAGUAGAGGAAGGAGCCAUGCCUCGUCUCUGUCGAUUGAACAUCACGUAUUGCUCGGGAUUGACUACACUCCCAGAUGGGCUGAGAUAUCUUACUAAUCUCAGGGAAUUAACCAUCAGAGGGAUGCGUAAAGAGCUCCACCGUCGGAUUGAGGAAGAUGGAGAGGAUUUCUAUAAAAUUCAACAUGUACCUUCCCUUGUAAUUGGAGAACCGAUGCAGUGAUGGCAAGGUAAUUUCUUUCCUUUAAUUUUUUAAUUUUAAAGCGAAAUGGGUGGUUUGGUUUGUGUUAAUUAGUUAUAAAAUGAAGCAGCAAGAGAAUAUUAAAGUAGAAAAGCCAACAGAAUAUGGGCUCCCUUGUUUAGCUAUGUUUUCUUUCUCCAGUUUUAUUGCUUUUUGCUUGUGCUUGUGAGUUGUGAGUCCUGCCUUUAUGAUUUCCAAAUGUUUUUUAUUUUGCUUUUUUUGCUCUUUACAUCUAGUUUUCCUUGUUUAUCGACCAUUUAUAAUUCCAUCGCAUUCUGAAUUCAAGUUUUUGUAGUUCCACGGGAAUCUUAUAAGAAGUUUUUUGUCUCCAUAAAUUUUGAAAAUAAUUUCCUAGUAUAUCCGUCUUCAAAGCUUGUUAAGAUACACCACCAUUGGAUUUUUUUUUUUGAAAGUCAAGUAAACUGCUGAAUUUGUGUUAUGGUAGCUAUUUGCAGGUAGGAAGGAACUGAGUAUGUCGAAGCUCUGCAGCAGAGUGAGCACGUGCGAAGCUGAACUUACCUGGAGAACAAAGAAAUGCUCUGUGAAAAUCAAGAGGAGCAAAGAUGUGGUCAAGUAAUUCAAAGUUCGUUAUAAGUUUUUGGGUCUGGUGGUUGUCCAACAGUACAUUUAUAUUACACAACUGAAAUUAUUGUAUUAUAUUUAAAUUUCCUUGAUGAAACCUUGUAUUUGUAUUCCUCUUUCGUGUCUGUUUUCAAUUAUGAAUAUUUGAGCCAAUUGCUGUCUGUGAAAUUUGAGUUCCGAGGACUUCCAACAAAGUAAACAUUGCGUGCCACUAAGGCAAAUUGUUAUUAGCAAGGGAUGUUUGAGAUUGAAAUAACGUUGUACAAAAUGAUGUGACAAUUUAUGUGGAUGGUUAUAUGAAUCAUGUAAUUUUCUCCUGUUCUCAAACAAAAGAAGACACUGUUGGUUUUAUGGAAAAGGAGGUAGGAGGCUAGAGUUCGCCUGAGUCUCAUCUCCAGUUUAGAGUUAGCAUAUAUCUGAAGAUUUUGUGCCACACAAAGGAGAAUAUCAAUCAGGCUUUUUAUUUUUCUUUCUUUCUUUUCGUGGCUUAAGCUUCCAGUACCUUGUGCACUUGGACAACGAAGGAAAGGAGGCUGUUAGAUGGGACUUGGGAGCAGAGAGAAGAGACUUCCAAGCACAACGCAGAUCCCAGGUACUUGUUCUACCAAUUUUUACAUCAAGCACCUCAUAGCUCUGGAACUCCUUAACUUCUUCUGUUUCCGUUUUUGUUAUGCAAUAAGAGCUCAGCACCAAUCUUAUAUACAUAUGUGAUUUGUGAAACAAAAGUUAUAUUACAAGAUACUGACUGCUUUUUGCAGAGUUCAGCACCAUUUAACAUGAUGCAACAACUUCACCUUUGUCACAGAAACUAUGAUUGAAACUGAUAUCCGAGAUGAAGCCUCUAAGUCAUCGAGAUGUUUGGAGAAAACAAACAGCAUUGAGGCAAUCCCAGAUUCCUCUCGUACCUUCACUUCUCCUGCUCUUGUUAAAAUGCAGCCAUAUGAAGUAGCUUCUUCACCUCUACAUUACAGAUUCUCACUCGGGUAAUCCUGCAUAUUGCUCCCACUUUCAAUCGGCUUGCUAUAUGAAAAUGAGUGUUGAUCAUAAAAUAAAAGUAGUUCUUUCACUUUUAUGCCUCAGAUUCUCUCUCGCGUCUGUAGAUAAAAACUGAACCAUAUACCACUCUACCGACCCUUCUACUUUUCUGACUUCUUCUACUCAAACCUUUCUUCCUCUCCUUUCCAACAACAGCUUCUGACAUGGGUAAAAUUACAAAGCCAUCCUAAAGGAAGUAAAGCCGCAAUGAACUGUACCAGAAUUCCAAAAGGCACGCUUAAGUAGUCGCCUGCUGUUACUCCAAUCAGAGAAGCCAAUCCAACGCCUAAAAACCCACUAGCUAUUGAUGAUAAACACAAGGCUGAUGCUAAGAAAGAAGUCAGAUAUCCUUCACAACCUUGAGGACAUAAACUCACAAAUAGCACUGUGAAAGGUAAGAUUUUGAAUUGCGCAAUAUCUGCUAACCACGAAAAACAAAGAACAAACACCUCAUUCGGAAUCCCCAGUCUAACAUUGAUCUGUCUUACUAAAAGAAGGUCAAGAAGAAGUGAAAAGGCAUACACAAGUUGCACCACACCAACCUUCUCAUGGGAACUUUUUUCCAAUAACGGUCAUAAAGUACGGCAGUGGAAAGAAGCAUCAAUUGGCCAAUCACUCGAGACAUGCCAAUGACUGAAGGAUCAAGAUGUAGAUGUGGGAACCGAAUUAAAUCAGGCCCUAGGUCAAAUAAUUCCUUUCAUUUGGGGAUUAUUUGACCUAAUUGGGAAUUACUCAAUUUAAUUGGGAGUUAACCAAUUAAAUGGGGAGUUACCUAAUUAAUUUGGGAUUGAUUUGAUUCUUACCCCAAUUAGGGAUUUGAUUUAAAUCAAAUAAAUCAAAUCCCUAAUUAAUCAAAUCUCGCCAAAUCGGAGAGGAAUAAUUCCCUUCCAUCUAUAGAAUUAUUCAUCUGAAACCCUAGCCUCCAAGACCACUAUAAAAAGAUGGCCACACACAAGGGUUGAGGUACGUCUAAAACCUCUACUGAAACUCUGCAAAAAAUUCCUCUCAAACCCUAGCCACCUCUUCUCUCUCUCUCUCUCUCUCUCUCUCUCUCUCUCUCUCUCUCUCUCUCUCUCUCUCUUUUACAUAAGGCUUCGGCUGCCCGGUUUACACCAUAAACACAUCUCCGUACCCUAAUUAGCUAGUGUUUUUCUUACAAACUCUUGAACUAAUUUAGGCAUCGGAGGGCCUUUGGCCAACACCCCCGGGUGUGGUCCUCUUAUUGAUUUUAUUUUGCAGGGAGAAAGAGGCGGCGAAGAAGAAAGGAGAAUCUUUCCAAUCGAAUAUUCUCGUAGUAAAAUUUGCUCCCACAGUAGACAUUGUGUUUGGUAGCAAAAGAUGAAACCUGACAGGACGGGAACCAUGGUAAUAGAAGCUACUAUCCAAGUAAGAGGACGAACAAUACUUUCCUCUUGAAUUCCCACCAUCAGCUCAGAAAAUUGUUUUCUAAUACUUUCAAAGAUUGGCUUCCUUAUAAGAUAGUGAUCUGGCAAUUGUGGUCAACCAAGAGAUUCCUCUCUUAUUCUUAAUGAAAUUGCAAGUUGAGCGGAAAGUAACACUGAAAAUACGAGAAACAUGGUUCUUGGUGGUGUUUUCAUUAAGAAAUAUCCACCUAUUAAGUUUCCAAGGAUUCCAUGAAUGCAUAAGAUUGGAGGCCUUUCAUAUAUUUUUUUUCUUGCCCGUACUCUGCAACAAGGGCAUCCUGUGCUACUUCUGUAAUGGAUGCUCCAAGAUUACUAAGAAGAACACAUGCCACAAGGGUAGUGUUAAAGGAAAGAAUGAAGUCAUAUUUGAUAUGCCCAUAUUAUAGGUCGUUGAUUGAUUCCUUGUAUAUAUGUCCUUCAAUUUUUUUUAUUUCCUUCCUAGAAUGAGACUCUCUCAGUUUGUAUAAAGCUGUAGCUAUAUUAUAUAUUCAUGAAUCAAUAAAAUAUAGAGAUCUUCUCUACCAAACUGUUUUCUUCAUUCACUAUUUUUAUAUGGUAUCAGAGCAUUGAUUCUGGUGACUCUAGAAACCCAAACACCUUCCGCUACAACACAACAUAAGAUGGGUGAAACAAAAUCCACAGAGAAAUCAAUUGAUGUUUCGGAUCCACUCACCUUGCACCACUCGAAUCACCCGAGAAUUAUUUUGGUCUUGUUUGGGCCAAAAUCUGGCGCACCCAACGCAACACUAAAAGAGCCCAGAAUAACAAAAACCACAGGAUCCAAAAUCUGGAUUGUGUAAAAUAGGAAUCGAAUGCCCAAAAUCCAAAAAGGCCCAGCACAAGAUUUAUCAAAAUAUGGCAAGCAAACUUGGGCCCCCCAAAAGAAAAACAACAGCCUUAGGCUCCAGAAAAAUCAAAGCGGGCCCGGUAUAAUUAAAAAGAAGAGAAGCCCAAAAUAGGAACAGACUCACGUGAUGUUUCUGACUUAGAAAAGUCAAUAUUUUCAACUGGGGUUAACAAAAACAGGCGGCUAGGAGGAGACAUCUCUGAAUCUCUGCCACUAGAAGAUCAAAUCCCUUCUUAUAAAUUCAAAGAUAUUGUUUCUACUCCAAAAGAAUGCACCAUCUUUCAAGGGAUAUGCAGGCUAAGUUCUCAAAAAGAAAUAAGCAGGAAAACAGGGAGUUGUUCAAACUGGAAAAUCAAACUGAACAUCACGGUUUGAGCUCUCACAAAGGGGCAGUUGGAAUUAAAGAGGGGUUAGGUUCUCUUUCAAAAAACAGAGAAGUGAUUGGUCUUAAAAGAACUGACUAUUGAGAGCCUAUCUGCCAGAAUUGAUAAAACCCCUUCUUCUUUGUAUUUAAAAAAUGAAAGAUCAUGUGAGAAUUUUGCUGCCCAUUAUUAAAAGAAAGAAACCCUACUCCAAAGCAUUUCUUAUAAAUAUGAGAGGGUGUGAACAGGGCAAAAGACACACUCAUUUCAACAAUCAAUCAAACAAUCAAAAAUCAACCAAAGGCAAAAAACUCAAAAUGAUCACUUAAUCACUAAGAACCUUCAAACAAACUGGAGCAACCAAAAGCUCAUUUGAGCCACAAAAGAAGCCAAUUAUAGAUCAGAACUUCCAAAGUACAGACUUAGAGAAAUAAGUUAUUCAAAACGAGACUUCUCUCGUUACAAAUUUGGUUCAGCAAAAGCCAAGACAAACAGAGUUUGAGUUUUCACAAAUAUGAAAACCUCAACAAAUUUUACAGUGCAGUUCCAGCUUAUUAAGUCCUCAAGUUCAACCACUUCUGCCCCUUCAGACUGAAGAAGCUGCAGUUCUGCCCGUUUAAAAGCCUCCCAAGGCUUAAAGUAGAUUGAAGCCCUGCCAAAAUUGAACUUUGGUAUCGAUUUACAGCUGAAGUUAAGCAGUUGAAGUUGUUAACAGCUUAGUCUAGCAUAGAAAUACUCAGUCCAGCCCGGAUCAAAAGUUUCUACCCAUGCAGAAAUGGAAUUCCAGCCGUCUUUUUGUCUUUCUAGAGUUGAUUUUUCCCUUUUUAAUUCUGUAGAAGGCAAUUCUGCCUAAAAUAGUCUGCUUUAUUAUCAUCUAUUCUGGCCAGAACUACCAAUUUUAUACUGUGAUAAAUUAUGAAGUCCUCACCAGUCUGAGGCAGGAAAAGAACUUACUUGAGAGAUAUUCCUCACCCAAAUUCACAAUCGCUUGUUUAGAAAUCAGUAACUUGGGUCGCAAGUUAUUUGUCUCAAAGAAGGUUGCUAUGAUUUUUUAUUGCUAGCAGUGGCACGCUCGCACACCAAAGAAAGUUGGUUUGUUGAUCAGUCAAUGGUUUUCAAGGCAGUGGGGAACUUUGCCCUUCCAUCAUAGGAGCAAACAUAAAACGGGUGAACAGGUCUCCAGGCUUCUUGAAGGAUACAACUAUGGGAAAUGGAGUCGAUCUAUGCAUCUCAAUCUUAGCGCAAAGAAUAAGAUUGGCUUUGUCUAUGGGUCCGUCAAAGCCUCAGCAUCUACAGAUGCGAAACACUCUAUUUGGCAACGAUGCAACGAUAUGGUAUUGUCGUGGAUCUUGAAUUCAGUACAUCCAGUCAUUGCCGGCAGCGUGAUCUAUGCCGAAACAGCGGCCGAAGUUUGGAAUGACCUCAAAGAGAGGUUUUCACAGGGCAAUGAUUCCAAAAUUUACCAAAUCCAACAAGAAAUUGUUGAACUUCGACAGGGACAUCAAUCUGUCUUGGCUUAUUACACCAAGAUGAAGGCAAUUUGGGACGAGUUGUCUUCCUACCAUGACACUUUAUCAUGCACGUGUGGAGGAUUGAAGGAAGUUGUUGCCCGACAAGAGAAAGAAAAAGUCAUGCAGUUUCUUAUGGGACUAAAUGAGACUUACGCCGUCGUCCGGGGACAGAUUUUGAUGAUGCAACCCCUUCCUGAUACACGUAAGGUCCAUGCUAUGAUACUCUAGCAAGAACGACAGGUUGAAGUAGCUGUACGACAUGAUAGCAAUACUAAUCAUCAUGCGAUGAAGGUUGCUCAACCUAGUCGUUCACCUGCAGCCCAAGGGAAUCUGACUACUAUGACCAAGUACGACACAACGUCGAUCGUUGUUAUUUUCUCCAUGGUUUUCCUACAGGCCAUAAGCUACAUGGCAAAAAAUGUGAAGCCACCCAACCGAAGGAAAUCAGCUGCACAUAAUACUCGAGCAAGCUUUGUGGAGUUAACUCAGGCACCAACUACCACUCCUAAUGAGAAACCCACAUUCACCACCGAGGAGUACACUCAACUCACGGUGUUGCUUCGGAAAGAGAAUGGUAAUACACCACUUUUGCUAAUGCCACAAGUAUUGUUACCCCCACAUGUUAUAACAUAGUACAUGCAUCUCACUGUACUCUGUAUUGGAUAGUAGACAGUGGGGCAACGGAUGACAUAUCCUAUUCCGUGCCCUCGAAUCACAUGACUUCGUCACAAAAUGACUUUGUUGAAUUACCUGAUAGUGGGCAUGCUGAAAUUACAUCGGUUGGUUCUGUUAAAUUGACCAAGGAUUUGGUUCUUUAUGGUGUUCUACAUGUACCAAAUUCCAAGUUAAUCUUUUGUAUGUUAGCAAACUCACUCAAGCUUUGGGAUGUAUAGUGACAUUUUCCCCUAAUUUUUGUAUUGUGCAGGACAUGGCUACGAAGAGGAUGAUUGGUCUGGGCAAGCCACAUAAAGGGCUCUACUACAUCACCCGCCAACAGAACCCACACCUAGUACACCAUGUCAACCGCUAUUCCAGCCUCUGGCACCAACGUCUUAGACACCCAUCUGUUGCCCCUCUCCAAGCUUUAAUCAAAAGCAUCCCUGAAGUUGUUUUUUAUUUUUCCAAUAAUUGUGAUGUCUGUCCCUUAGCCAAACAGACUCGUUUACCUUUUUCUUCUAGUUUAAUUAAAUCCGUAGCUCCUUUUGAUUUGAUCCACUAUGACAUUUGGGGGCCUCACAGAGUUACUUCACACUCUGGGGGGCGUUAUUUUUUAACUAUUGUAAACGAUUAUUCUCGUUUUACUUGGAUUCAUCUUAUGAGCUUUAAAUAAGAAACACAGUUAUUGUAGAAAUCUUUCUUUUCUUGAGUGCAAACCCAAUUUAAUUGUCGCAUUAAGUCUUUGCGUGCUAACAAUGAGGCAGAAUUCAUAUCCAUGCGAAAUUGUUUUGAUGACAAUGGCGUAUUUUUCCAACAUUCUUGUCCCUCAACACCUCAACAAAAUAGGGUUGUUGUUUGUUGAGCGCAAGCAUCGUCAUCUUUUAAAUGUGGGGAGGGCUCUUAGAUUCCAGGCUCACUUACCAUUGUGUUUUUGGGGAGAAAGUAUCCAAACAACCUGUUAUCCCAUAAACAGAUUACCUACACCUCUCCUCUCUCACACAUCCCCAUAUGUCAUGCUUCAUCACAACCCUCCUACUUAUACUCACAUGCGUGUUUUUGGUUGCCUUUGCUAUGGAAUAAAUAUUCACCCCAUUUACAAAUUUGAUAAACGAGCUAGGCGUUGCAUUUUUGUUGGUUCUCCCCUUGGCCAAAAAGGUUAUCGCGUCUUUGAUCUCGAAACCAAGAAAUUUUCCACCUCUAGGGAUGUCAAAUUUUAUGAACAUGUUUUUCCAUUCUUGACUCAACCCGUCGAUUAUGAUGAUGAUACAACCAGUCCGGUCUUACCACUACCUCAAGACAUCUCUCAUAGCCCAGAUGACACCUCAUCCUCUUCUGCAGUUGGUAACUCAAAUCUCUCCAGCCUAUCUCCAGUUGUCAGCCCAGAUAUAAACAUUCACGGCAAUCUCCAAUUGUCACCUAACCCCUCACCAACUCCACCUCCUAUUCUCCAUGUUCGUGAACACCACCAUGACCUCUCCAACCAAAUCUUUGUUGUCCCAACCCCUCUUUCUGAGCCGUAGCUUCAUUGUUCUGACCGUGUUCCUCAGCCCAACAUCAAGCUUCGUGAUUAUCAUGUUUAUCACGGCAGUUUGCUUGACCCAGUGCCACAUCUGACACGUCGAGCACCCGUUAUCCAUUGACCCAGUAUGUUUCUUACUCCCACUUGUUUGAUGCUCAUCGUUCUUUUGUGACCAACAUAUCCCUCUUGGUAGAACCAGUUUCUUAUGAACAGGCUAGUGUGGAUCCAAAAUGGAUUGAGGCUAUGCAGAUUGAACUUGACGCUCUUGCUGCAAAUAAUAUUUGGACCAUAAUGCCAUUAUCUUCUGGUCACCGAGCCAUUGGAUGUUUAUGGGUAUUCAAAAUCAAGUAUAACUCCGAUGGUACAGUUGAACGCUACAAGGCAUGUCUUGUGGCCAAAGGAUUUACCUAACGUGAAGGAAUUGAUUACAAGGAGACUUUCACUUAUGUUGCCAAACUUAUUAUUGUGCGAUGUCUUUUGUUUGUUGCUACCAUUCACAAUUGGUCUUUGCAUCAACUUGAUGUGCAAAAUGCCUUUUUUUCAUGGUGAUCUCCAGGAGAAAGUCCACAUGCAGCCUUCUCUCGGGUUUCGUCGACAGGAGGAGAGAGUUGUAUACCGACUCAACAAGUCUUUGCAUGGGUUUAAACAAGCAUCUUGCAGCUGGUUCCACAAGUUUUCUCAUGCCAUUCAAGAAAUUGGCUUUCACUAAUCCAGGGCUGAUUAUUCUUUAUUCACCAAGGUGUGUGAUAAUUCUUUUACUACUAUAUUCCUUUAUGUUGACGAUAUGAUCAUCACAUGGAAUAAUGAAGAUGCCAUUGUUUGUCUCAAAUGGUUCCUUCACACAAAAUUUCGCAUCAAGGAUCUUGGACUCAAAUAUUUCCUUGGUGUCGAAGUUGCACGCUCCAAAAAUGGGAUUUCUAUUUGUCAACCCAAGUAUGCCUUGGACAUACUUGAAGAGGUCAGAUUACUUGGUGCAAAACCAGCAAUGUUUCCUAUGGAGUAGCACUUGAAAUUGAAACCUACAGAUGGUGUCACUCUCGAGGAUCCAACACAUUAUCGCAAUCUAUUUGACAAUCACAAGACCGGAAAUUGCAUAUUCCAUCCACAUUCUUAGCCAAUUCAUGCAACAGCCAAGAAUGCCACACUUAGAUGCAAUGCAUCGCCUUAUUCGAUACUUAAAGAUAGCUUCGAGUCAAGGGUUGCUCUUUCCCUCACAAGGCAGUUUAAUAUUACGAGGUUAUUGUGAUGCCGAUUGGGUAGGAUGUCCCACCACGAGAAGGUCCAUCUCAGGUUACUGUGUUUUUCUUGGUAAUGCUCUUAUAGCUUGGAAGACGAAGAAACAAACUACUGUUUCCAGAUCAUUAGCAGAAGCUGAGUAUCGCUCAAUGUCUGCAAUCACAUGCGAGCUCACUUGGCUGAGAUAUCUACUACGCGACUUGUGCAUUGAUCAUUCUGAGCUGGCAACGUUGCACUGUGACAACCAAGCGGCAAUACAUAUUGCAACCAAUCCAGUUUACCAUGAACAUACCAAACAUAUUGAACUUGAUUGCCACACUAUACGAGAAAGAAUUCAAAGAGGAGAAAUCAAGACGACAUACGUACAAACUAGAAAACAGAUUGCUGACAUUUUCACAAAGCCAUUGGGACAAGCAAUUUUCCAUUCACAUCUUAGCAAGUUGGGUGUUUUGGAUAUCCACACUUCAACUUGAGGGGGAGUGUUAAAGGAAAGAAUCAAGUCAUAUUUGAUAUGCCCAUAUUAUAUGGUCGUUGAUUGAUUCCUUGUCUAUAUGUCAUUCAAUUGUUUUUAUUUCCUCCCUAGAAUGGGACUCUCUCAGUUUGUAUAAAGCUGUAGCUCUAUUGUAUAUUCAUGAAUCAAUAAAAGACAGAGAUCUUCUCUACCAAACUGUUUUCUUCAUUCACCAUUUUUACAGGUAGGAAGCGCUUUAGCUGCAACAGGGAUAACUGCCAUUGGCCCCCAAGAUAGGACCUGUAAAAGAACUGAAAAUUUGAACUCCAUCAGAAAUGGCCGUAGGUUUUUAGAGGACAAACAUACCCUUUUUUUUAAUUGCCUUUCCAAAUGGUUCAUAUUACUUUCUGAUUGAUACCUAUGUUAACACACCAUUAAACAGUGUUUUUAGGUUCUACUUCAACAUUGUUGCAACUUGCAAGGAAAGCAGCAUAAGGUUAGGCUACCUUUUACAGGGAUAUGAGCACAAAAAGCAGUAAAAUUUGUCCAAUUUAAAGAGAGAAGUUUCCUUAUAUUUAGGAAUCUAAUAAGUUUUUGUUUCCACGGAUUAACCAAAGAAAUUGUGCACAUGGAAGAGACAAAUAGAAUCUCUAGCAUAAUCAAAAUGGGAAGAAAAGAGCAAGAAAGCAAAACCAAGCAAAGGAAAUAAAAACAACAUACACAGGCAACAUUUAAAAAACAUAUUAAAAUUGAACAGAUUUCUCUACAACAAUGACAGAAAACAGAGCACAUGAAUAUAUUAAAACAGGGAACUAUCAACAAAAUUGACAAAAACGGAAUGACAUCAAUGAAAUAAGGCAAGGGAAUUGUAACUAACCUCCAAUGGAAAUAUAAGGUAAUCUAUGCGCACAAGAAAUGUAAAGAGCAUCAGAGAGGAUUCCAUAAAAGGGUUUAGCCACCAUGAGGGGUGCAUGUUAAGAUUGUGAGCCAUGUGGAAGUUCAACGCCAGCCAUGGAAAGCACCUAAAACCUUGCAUCCAGUACCCAAAUCCACACAGAAACAACAUUUGCUGGCUACCCAGUUGGGGAAAACCUCUUCUUUCCUCAUGAAUCCUGCUCCUCUUGGUUUUUCUGUAAAUAACUUGAGUUGGGUUUAUCAAGAUGGAGCUUCUGAGCUGGGUUUUGGGUUCUGUUGGGUUCACAGGGCUGUUAAUGGUGUCUGGGUUUUGGCGGUGAAAACUAAGGGUAGGAUUUAAGUGAAAAGGACAUUGUUUUGUUCAAGGUCUGAGGACUUUUGGGCUGAUUGUUGUCCAUGGAUUUUCAGAAGAACCUGAUGAAUAAAUCAUGGUAAUUACUAAUUUGGUACUUUUAAAAAGAAAAAUGCAAAUCCAAGAAAGAAAUGGAAAUGAGGUGCCUCAAUAAACUCUCUACAUGCUUCUAUUGUAUAUGCAGUGAAGAGCACAGCCUCCUUCUCUAGCACAGCCUGAGGCUGAUGGAUACCUUGUUUUUGGAGGUGGGUUUGUCCUUGUCUGUUUAUGGUGUACUUAUUUUGCUUGUCUGUAUUGUCUUGCUGUCUUUUGGAAAUUGGGAGGUUUGGCCAUGUGUUUGACACGCGCCCCUGUGGAGCGAGUGGGUCCGAGGAAAUAGGGAAGGGCCAGCACACGGGAGUGAUGAGCGUGGGGGUAGGCCCUACAUGUAGAUUUGUUUUCGGUCAAUUUUGUGUUUCUGACUCUGAUCUGAGUAGUAGAUGGACUGAUUGGGACUGCAUAUGUGAUGUUGGAUAUGGACGCUCCGUAUAUGACCGUCCGUUUUUGGAUAUGGAGUUCCUUCCUCUUCUUUUUUCACUUUCAGGUUGCAGUUUCUUUGCUUCUAAUCGUUUCGGGGAGCAAAGAGCAAACCAUACAACAAGUGCUGCAACCUAGUUAUUUUCUAGAUAAUGCGUACAGACUACUAAUAAGGCUUCUUCUCCAUCGAAUGUGAAGAUUGUCCGCAACAGGUUUGAGGAUCAAGGUGACAGGUCAAAAUGUGCUUCCAAUAGCGAGUGAACUUCCAUUAGGGAAGACAGCUUGAAAUCUGGUUUGAAAUCGACGUUGGCGUAUUCUGGAGAGUCAUACCUCCCACUUUCAUCAAGCAAGAAGCAUGCAACAGCUCCUGCUCGCUUCCCACAAGCCACCUGCAAUGUAAGAUAACUAAACUACUGAAUUGUAAUAUGUUCUUGAGACAAAAGAAAAUAAUAUGGAACAGUAAUAGACGAAUAACUCUUUACGUGCAAUCCUUUUCUACACCAAUGACUUGGUGCAUUUCAAUAUCCUUGUUCUAAUUCGAUCACAUUGUCUUGGACAAAUAUGUAAAUACUAAUAUGAACCCUUCAAUUCAUUGACAAUGUAGCAAUAUUCUACACUAUACAAGGUGACGGGCACAUUGUCUUGGUCAACUGACCUAAGCCAUAAUGUUCGACAUCCGUGCUACCAUAGCGUAUAUAAAAAUUGCAUAUCAAAUUUUUAUUAGUAAAUUGAGCUUAGACCCAUAAAAUUCAUUUUAAGCCAUAAUGUUCGCCAUCCGUGCUACCAUUGCGUAGAUAAAAAUUGCAUAUCAAAUUUUUAUUUGGUUGGGAAAAAUCAAGAAAAUAAUACAAAGAACACUAGACAAUGAGGCCCUUCUCUUGUGCCCAUUUCUAUGUAGCCCAAACCAAACAAAAAACAAAUUUCCCAUUCCCAUCAGUUCUAGUGUGGAGUCGUUCUCUUCUAUUACGUGGACCGCCAUAUAUGGUCUUUAGGUGUAUACCUGUAUCAUUAGUCGUAGGAUUAAAUUGAACCGUCCGGAUUUGAUCUUAAAGAAAUAAUACUUCAGCCUCUGCGCACAGCCAAACCCACGUUUUACUCAACAAACAUUACCAAUGUCUUUUUCUUCAAGAAGUUAAUUUAAGUUCUGUUGUCCGUUUUGUAUCAAGGUGUUUGUUUGAUGCUUGGGUUAUUAUUAGCAGAGGGAAGCAAAGGGAGGGAGGGUUAAAUGGAUAUGUUAUGUGUGGGUGGAUGUGUGGAUCUCUGAGUGGAAUUUCUUUUGCACAACUGGGGCCAUAUGGUCAUCAUCAAAGACUUUGCCAUAAGGUGUUGAUUGAGGGGAGGAGGAUGAUGAUCAAGUGAGAAACGGGGAAGCUGCUGAAACAUAACAGAGAGAUUGCCCUGUUUACUUUGAAACUUCUGAUCAAGCAGUGUGUAUUCACAUGGAGAAUAAGCUAAUCAAGAAGUGUCAAUGUGUCAUGCUUCUUUUCCAUCUUCUUGGUGGAGAAACUGCCAAAAUUAAAGACCUUUCAGCUUUCUUCUUUUUGGUGUAAACUUCAAGCUUUCUUUGCUUUUUAUUUUUUUAUUUUUUAUUGUAUUUCAUAUCUUUGUCAUGUAUUGAUGGGUCUGGUAGGUAGGCCUAUGGUUGUCAUUUCAAAUGUACAGAUGAUCGAACUCUGUACCUCAGAGAGUAUCCAGCUGACAUUCAUCCAACUUGCAGGCCUAGCCAGUUUCCUACCAGUAGAUCAAACCCCUUGAAAAAUGACUGAUUUCUUUCGAAUUGAAACUUGUUUGCCUUAAAGUGUUUUAAAACCUACAACAUCCACCAGGGGACAAAAACGUCCAAUUAUUUUUAAUCAGUUAGUCUUCUAGUUGUCGUUACAUAAAUGUUUGCAUGCUUGUAUUGAAUUUCUUGAGCAUAAGUGGGAUAUGGAUCAAAGACUUGGCUUUUUUCUGUUUGGUCCAGCAUCCAAGACUUGCGUUACCGAAAAAAAAAAACAUCGAAGACUUGCUUUUGGUUAUGCUGAUCCUAUAAUAAAAAAAAAAAAAUAUAUAUAUAUAUAUAUAUAUAUAUAUCACAUAAGCUUUUCUUUCCUUUUUCAAUCUUGGCUUUGUUAAAGUAAAUUAUACAACUUGCAUUGGAUGCUUGUGGUACAAUGAUAAUUGAGGGAAGGUGGUCAGAAAGAAAACGCCAAAGUUUACUACUUUUUUCUGGUGGAAUUGGACUUCAUACAUAGACAGAAAGAAUUGCUCUGUUUUACUCGUUUUCGUUUCGGCCAAGAGAGAGUAAGUAGUAGAGAGAAUGGCUGAGGCAGUUGUUUCCUUUGUACUCGAAAGUGUCAGAGACUUCACUAUUCAGGAAGCCAACUUCUUUUCUGGAGUCAGCCGUCAAGUUGAAGCUGCACAAACUGAGCUACUAGUGAUGAAGAGAUUCCUGAAAGAUUUGGAUUCAAGACAAGGAGAAGAUGCAACAGUCCAGAUUUGGGUUGCCCAAAUUAGAGAUGCUGCUUAUGAUUUGGAAGAUGUUAUUGAAACUUACGGCUUGAAAGUGGCUUCCAAGAAGAAAAGAGGUGUGAAGAAUAUUCUAAGAAGAUUUGCCUGCAUCUUCAAGGAAGGAGUUGAUCGUUACAAGAUUGGAAACGAAAUUGAGAAUAUCACCACCAGAAUUUCUGAUUUGAGGUCAAGUUUGCAGAAGUAUAACAUAAAGCAAACAAGAGAAAGUAGUGGUGGUGAAUCUUCCUUGCAAUUGCAUGAGAGGCUAAGGAGAAGUUAUUCUCAUGUUGUUGAACGUGAUGUUGUUGGGUUAGAGUCCAACGUUGAAGAAUUGGUUAUGCAUUUAUUGAAAGAUGAAAAUCGUCAUCGAGUUGUAUCUAUUUGGGGUAUGGGCGGUUUAGGGAAGACCACCCUUGCAAGACAACUUUAUCAUCACAAAGAAGUAAGGCAGCAGUUUCAAGAAAGAAAUGUUUGGGAGGGAAUUUUAUUUGAAGUCAUUUCUGCUACCAAGGAACAAAAACAAGAAAUGAAGGACAUGACAGAUGAUGAAAUAGCAAAGAAGCUUUUCCGUGUUUUGCAAAGAAUGAAAUGUUUGGUGAUCCUUGAUGACAUAUGGAGAAUCGAGACAUGGAAUCUUUUGAAGGCUGCAUUUCCAAAUGUGGAAACAGAGAGCACAAUAUUGCUUACUACACGCAAUCAAAAAGUAGCCACGCUCCCAAAUAGAAAUGCUUGUCUCCACGAACUCCAGCCACUGAAUGAUAAUGAGAGUUGGAACCUACUUGAGAAGAAAGCAAUAUCUGAAAGGGCUGAUAUCGGUAUUUUCUCACCCUUACUCUAUUCUUUUCCAGAUUCUUAGUUGUAUAGCGAGCCACAUAAAAACCAUUACAAUUUUUUAAUAUUGUCAAACAUGUAGCAAUUUUUGGCUAUAAAAAAAAAAAAAAACAAGUAGUAAUUGCAAUUUUAUAAGCUGCCUUACUUGGUCACAUCUUAUGCAAUUGUAAAUAAUAAUCAGGACAAUGCUAGACAAUUCAAAAUUUUCUCCAACCUUCUCUUAAAUCCAAACAUAUCCCAAACUUUUUUGUGUUGGUCCAGAUUUAAUUUUUGAAUGUUCUCCAUUUGGCACCCUUUGCUAAUUCAUCAUCUGUCAUGUCCUUAAUUUCUUGUUUUUGUUCCUUGGCAUGCUCAUGCUGCAAGAAUGUAUUUGAUCUUUUUUCUCUUUCUUAUUUUUAGAUUUGGGAAUGUACACAAAAAAGAGAGAAUUAGUAACGAAUAUGCUUCGACAUUGUAAAGGUUUGUCAUUAGCCAUUAUUGUACUUGCCGAAGUUCUAGCAAGAAAAAACACUGUUAGAGAGUGGGAGAUAGUGCAUGAGAAUGUUUAUGAAUACAUAAGGAAAGGGAUAGGUCAUGAAGAAGAAUAUGAAGGUGCAUCAUGGGUUUUGGCAUUGAGUUAUGAUGACCUGCCGUAUCACUUAAAACCAUGUUUUUUAUAUUUAGGUCAUUAUCCUGAAGAUUGUAUUAUUUUGGUAAGCACAUUGACUAAGUUAUGGGUGGCAGAAGGUCUUAUCUUCUUAAGACAACAAAGACAUGGUUCGGAGAAAACAAUGGAGGAUAUAGCACAUGAUUGCUUAAGUGAGUUGGUGGAACGGUGUUUGGUUUAAGUGGGAACAAGUGGUUCAAUAGGAACAAUUAAAGAUUGUCGAAUCCAUGAUCUUGUAUGAGACAUGUGUUUGUUAAAGGCAAAAGAGGAAAGCUUUCUCCAGAUUAACAAUUCUUUGCAAGAAAAUGCUUCUUCUAUGGCAGCUGAGGCAACACAAUUGGGGAAAAUUCGAAGACUUGCAAUUUACUUGGAUGAGAACGCAGAUAGGUUGGUUUCUUCAAGAGAUGAAACAAAUUUGCACGUAAGGUCUCUAUUAUACUUUUUGCCACAAGGAUGGAUGCCAAAAAGUAUAGAUGGAUUACUAUCUCCUUUGAAGGAUUUCAAAGUGCUUAGAGUUUUGAAGGUUGAAGGUCUUAACGAAGUAGAAGUUGAGUUGCCAAGUGAAAUUGGAAAUAUGGUACACUUGAGGUUUCUAAGUGUGAUUAAUUGCAAUAUCAAAACGUUUCCUCCAUCCCUAGGUAAUUUAAUAUGCUUGCAAAGUCUUGAUUUUCGUGUUUUGAAUGAAGACAUGGUGAUCCCAAAUGUGAUAAUGAAGAUGAAACAAUUAAGACAUUUAUAUUUACCCUGGAGGUACAGUGCAAAGGGUAAGCUGGAGCUGUCUACUCUUGGCUAUCUACAGACCUUAGAUUACCUUUCAAGUGAGUAUUGUGAUUUGAAAGAUGUUGGUAGAUUAACCAAUCUUAGAAAACUGACAAUAAAACUGUCAACCUCUUUGCAAAAUAUGGAGGAAAUCUUAAAAUCUACAGGCAGCACGCUUAACCAUAUCCGGUCUCCAAUUGUGUUUAUGAACAACAAUAGCUGUGAAGAACAAGCUAUGCAAAUAGUAUCAAGCUGUCGGGGUAUAUACAAAUUGAUGCUGAAAGGGUCAAUCGCAGAAUUACCGAAAGAGCUCCACAACUAUCCAAACCUCACCAAGUUACAAUUGUGGAGAUGUGGUCUCAAGGAGAACCAAAUGGGAAUACUAGAGAAGCUGCCAAACCUAACGACUCUGAAUCUUAAGAGUCAAGCUUUCAAGGAGAAUACAAAGAUACUGGUUUUCUCCAAAGAAGGCUUUCCUUCUCUUCAAUAUCUUUUCGUUAAUGGUAUGUUCGGAAUAACAGAGUGGAGAGUAGAGGAAGGAGCCAUGCCUCGUCUCUGUCGAUUGAACAUCACGUAUUGCUCGGGAUUGACUACACUCCCAGAUGGGCUGAGAUAUCUUACUAAUCUCAGGAAAUUAACCAUCAGAGGGAUGCGUAGAGAACUCCACAGUCGGAUUGAGGAAGAUGGAGAGGAUUUCUAUAAAAUUCAACAUG